rnacentral:rRNA from 1 species
UACGAAGGGGGCUAGCGUUGUUCGGAAUUACUGGGCGUAAAGCGAACGUAGGCGGUGUUCCAUGUCAGAGGUGAAAGCCUGGGCUCAACUCCAGAAUUGCCUUUGAAACGGGGACGCUUGAGUCCGAGAGAGGGUGGCGGAAUUCCUAGUGUAGAGGUGAAAUUCGUAGAUAUUAGGAAGAACACCAGUGGCGAAGGCGGCCACCUGGCUCGGUACUGACGCUCAGGUUCGAAAGCGUGGGGAGCGAACAGG